GUGUUUAUUUUACCUUGUUGCUUCGGCGGGCCCGCCUUAACUGGCCGCCGGGGGGCUUACGCCCCCGGGCCCGCGCCCGCCGAAGACACCCUCGAACUCUGUCUGAAGAUUGUAGUCUGAGUGAAAAUAUAAAUUAUUUAAAACUUUCAACAACGGAUCUCUUGGUUCCGGCAUCGAUGAAGAACGCAGCGAAAUGCGAUACGUAAUGUGAAUUGCAAAUUCAGUGAAUCAUCGAGUCUUUGAACGCACAUUGCGCCCCCUGGUAUUCCGGGGGGCAUGCCUGUCCGAGCGUCAUUUCUGCCCUCAAGCACGGCUUGUGUGUUGGGCCCCGUCCUCCGAUCCCGGGGGACGGGCCCGAAAGGCAGCGGCGGCACCGCGUCCGGUCCUCGAGCGUAUGGGGCUUUGUCACCCGCUCUGUAGGCCCGGCCGGCGCUUGCCGAUCAACCCAAAUUUUUAUCCAGGUUGACCUCGGAUCAGGUAGGGAUACCCGCUGAACUUAAGCAUAUCAAUAAG
rnacentral:rRNA from 1 species